AUUGAACGCUGGCGGCAUGCUUUACACAUGCAAGUCGAACGGUAACAGGCCUUCGGGUGCUGACGAGUGGCGAACGGGUGAGUAAUGCAUCGGAACGUGCCCAGAGGUGGGGGAUAACGCAGCGAAAGCUGUGCUAAUACCGCAUGUGAUCUGAGGAUGAAAGCGGGGGACCAGGCAGCAUUUUUUGGCCUCGCGCCUUUGGAGCGGCCGAUGUCAGAUUAGGUAGUUGGUGGGGUAAAGGCCUACCAAGCCGACGAUCUGUAGCUGGUCUGAGAGGACGACCAGACACACUGGGACUGAGACACGGCCCAGACUCCUACGGGAGGCAGCAGUGGGGAAUUUUGGACAAUGGGCGCAAGCCUGAUCCAGCAAUGCCGCGUGCGGGAAGAAGGCCUUCGGGUUGUAAACCGCUUUUGUACGGAACGAAAAGGCUCUGGCUAAUACCUGGGGCUGAUGACGGUACCGGAAGAAUAAGCACCGGCUAACUACGUG
rnacentral:rRNA from 1 species